UUCGUAACCCAAACCCGUAAGCAAUAUGGGUGGUAUCGUAAAACCCUAGCUUGUUCCUCUAGGGUUCCUGCCCUCCGUUGUUAAGCCCUAAAAUUGAAAAUCAACAGGUAGAUUUGAGUUUGGGCGAUGACUUCAAUGGAGGGAAUGAAGGUGUCUGAGGCGGACUUGGUUGUGUACGUGCACCCGUCGAAGUCACACAAGGUCUCCCAAGCCGUCCUUCGUGAACUCAGCUCUCUGCUUUUCAAGUUUAGUGAAACUUUUGAUGGUGUUGUAUUGGCUUACGAAGCCGAUGUCCAAAGCAAAAAUGCGAAGAUUCUUUCUGGGAUAUAUCCUUACUUGGGUGUGAAAAUACAAGCAAAACUGCUACUUUUUAAUCCAAAGCCAGGCAUGCUUUUAGAAGGCAAGGUUGUGAAACUUAGUCAACAAUCCAUUCAUGUCAUUGUUCUUGGUUUUUCAUCUGCUAUCAUAACGGAGGAAGACAUUCGUGAAGAGUUCAAAUAUAAAAUCAAACACGGUGAUGAAGUAUUUGCUAGCACAUCUGACAAGCAUCAUAAGAUUAAAGUUGGAACCAUUUUACGUUUCUUAGUCAAGAGUUUCGAUGAAGAGAUACUUCAUAUUUCUGGAUCACUGCACCCGGCCAAUACAGGAAGCAUCCGCCGGUUGUAUAAACAUAUGGAAGACUCGUCAAACGCUGACAGGAGUAUCAAGAAGCGGGAAGAAAGUGAGGGAACACAAGAUGCGGCUACAAUUUCCAUGAACACUGAUCACAGACAUAAGAAGUCAAAGAGACAGAGAAGUGGGGAACAUUCUUGAAGGCUGAUGCACACUUGCAGCGUGAAUGCUCUUUAGCCGUAGCUCCUUCUAGGGUUGGCAAGCUUGAUUCUCUGUUGGUGAAUGGCAGGCAAAACAUAUGGCCCAUUCGUUUGUUUUGCAGCGUUGACAGCCAAUUCUUUCUCUCUGAGUCUUUUUAUGAUCUAUUGUUGUAUGAAUUGGAAGUGUUCGAUCCAUAGUUUUCGGAAUCUGCUAUUACUAUGGCAAGGAAUUCCUUCAUUGUUGCAAAAGAUGAAUCUGUUUUUGCUUUCAUGUUCUUGUAUGGCUACAAUAUCAAUCUUACGAGAGCACCUAGUCCGUUUAUUUUUUCCCCCUCUA